AUGGAGAGGGAAGUCGGAACUGAUGGAAACAAGGAUGGUGAAGAUGAUAUAGAGGAAGAGGAUGACGAAAAAGAAGGGGAUGCAGGAAAGGAAGACAAUGACGAUGAAGAAGGUGAUGGGCACGAUAAAGAGAAGGAAGAUGAUGGGCAGGGAAAGGAUGAUGUUGAUGAUGAUGAUGGUGGAGGUUGCAACGGUGACUCAGGCGACAAUGGUGGCUCCUACGGUAAUGAGGAUGUUGCAGCUGAAGAACAAGACAGCGACGAUGAUGAACAAAGCACGCUGCAAUUUCUAAUUGAAAAGAAGAGAUAUAGUAAGCCAAAAGGACUGCAUGAGGCAGCUAACAUCUCUAUCAAAGAUCUUGUGAUGACUGAGUUUAAAACUGCUGCUUCCCCAAAGCCACGCUUCCCUGUUUUUGAAGUAAAAGAAAUGUUGGAUCUUGAUUACAGAUCCGUUGCAGCCGAAGCUAGGAUUAUUUUCGAAGAGCUGUUGAGGGCAGAAGAUUUGGAUAUGGUCUUCACAUUUAAACCUGAAGAAAUAUGCCCAAAGCCGAUUCGCCAGAAAAUAAUGAGAGAAAUUGGUGCUCUAAAUGAAGUUGCAGAACCAAAGAAAGUUGGUCAAAACCAACUACCACCACUUCCGCCAUCAAAGAAGAUGAAGAAAACUUUCAGUUUCAUAUUAGAGCCAUCUAUAUGA
rnacentral:rRNA from 1 species